CCCCCGCGCCUCCUCCCAGCGCAGACUUCAAGGGCUACCACUGGACCCUUCCCCUGUCUUGAACCCUGAGCCGGCACCAUGCACGGACGCCUGAAGGUGAAGACGUCAGAAGAGCAGGCGGAGGCCAAAAGGCUAGAGCGAGAGCAGAAGCUGAAGCUAUACCAGUCAGCCACCCAGGCCGUAUUCCAGAAGCGCCAGGCUGGUGAGCUGGAUGAGUCAGUGCUGGAACUGACAAGCCAGAUUCUGGGAGCCAACCCUGAUUUUGCCACCCUCUGGAACUGCCGACGAGAGGUGCUCCAGCAGCUGGAGACUCAGAAGUCUCCUGAAGAGUUGGCUGCUCUGGUGAAGGCAGAACUGGGCUUCCUGGAGAGCUGCCUGCGGGUGAACCCCAAGUCUUAUGGUACCUGGCACCACCGAUGCUGGCUGCUAGGCCGCCUACCUGAGCCCAACUGGACCCGAGAGCUGGAGCUCUGUGCCCGUUUCCUGGAGGUGGAUGAGCGGAACUUUCACUGCUGGGACUAUCGGCGGUUUGUGGCCACACAGGCAGCCGUGCCCCCUGCAGAAGAGCUAGCCUUCACUGACAGCCUCAUCACCCGAAACUUCUCCAACUACUCGUCCUGGCAUUACCGCUCCUGUCUCUUGCCCCAGCUGCACCCCCAGCCGGAUUCUGGACCACAGGGGCGCCUCCCUGAGGAUGUGCUGCUCAAAGAGCUGGAGCUGGUGCAGAAUGCCUUCUUCACUGACCCCAAUGACCAGAGUGCCUGGUUUUAUCACCGUUGGCUCCUAGGCCGAGCUGACCCCCAGGAUGCACUGCGCUGCCUGCAUGUGAGCCGGGAGGAGGCCUGUCUGACUGUCUCCUUCUCUCGGCCCCUCCUAGUGGGCUCCAGGACGGAGAUCUUGCUGCUCAUGGUUGAUGAUUCUCCCCUGAUUGUGGAGUGGAGGACUCCAGAUGGCAGGAACCGGCCCAGCCAUGUCUGGCUCUGUGACCUGCCUGCUGCCUCCCUCAACGACCAGUUGCCCCAACAUACAUUUCGCGUCAUUUGGACAGCAGGCGAUGUCCAGAAAGAAUGCGUGCUUUUAAAAGGCCGCCAGGAGGGCUGGUGCCGGGACUCCACCACGGACGAGCAGCUAUUCAGGUGGUGAUAGGGAAGCACAAAACAAGGAGAGGGGCUCUGGACUCUGGGCAUCAGGCAGCCAGGGCAGGAGGCUGGGGCCUCCAGGAGCUGUUUCAGUCUAGAUACUGGGGAUGUUGACCAGUGCUUCAGGGCUGUGGGCCUCAACACCUCCCCACUCUGCCCACCCUCAGGUGUGAGCUGUCAGUGGAGAAGUCCACAGUGCUGCAGUCUGAGCUGGAAUCCUGUAAGGAGCUGCAGGAGCUGGAGCCUGAGAAUAAAUGGUGCCUGCUUACCAUCAUCCUGCUGAUGCGGGCACUGGACCCCCUGCUGUAUGAGAAGGAGACUCUGCAGUACUUCCAGACCCUCAAGGCCGUGGACCCCAUGCGGGCAGCGUAUCUGGAUGACCUGCGCAGCAAGUUCUUGCUGGAGAAUAGCGUGCUCAAGAUGGAGUAUGCCGAGGUGCGUGUGCUGCACCUGGCUCACAAGGAUCUGACAGUGCUCUGCCAUCUGGAACAGCUGCUCUUGGUCACCCAUCUUGACCUGUCACACAAUCGUCUCCGAACCCUGCCACCUGCACUGGCUGCCCUGCGCUGCCUUGAGGUGCUGCAGGCCAGUGAUAAUGCCAUAGAGUCCCUGGAUGGCGUCACCAACCUACCCCGGCUGCAGGAGCUGCUACUGUGCAACAACCGCCUCCAGCGACCUGCAGUGCUCCAGCCUCUUGCCUCCUGCCCCAGGCUGGUCCUCCUCAACCUGCAGGGUAACCCGCUGUGCCAAGCGGUGGGCAUCUUGGAGCAACUGGCUGAACUGCUGCCUUCAGUUAACAGCAUCCUCACCUAAGAGGCCCUGCCCCCUACCCUUGCCCUUUAACUUAUUAGGACUGAA
rnacentral:sRNA from 1 species